GAUGAACGCUGGCGGCGUGCCUAAUACAUGCAAGUCGAGCGGAAGGACGAGACGCUUGCGUCUCUGAUGUUAGCGGCGGACGGGUGAGUCACACGUGUAUAACCUACCUAUCAGACUGGGAUAACUUCGGGACACCGGCGCUUAUACCGUAUAAUAUUUUGAACCGCAUGGUUCAAAAGUGAAAGACGGUCUUGCUGUCACUUAUCGAUGGAUCCGCGCUGCAUUAGCUAGUUGGUAAGGUAACGGCUUACCAAGGCUACGAUGCAUAACCGACGUGAGAGGGUGAUAGGCCACACUGGAACGGAGACAGGGACCAGACGACUACGGGAGGCAGCAGUAGGGAAUGGUACGCAAUGGGCGAAAGCCUGACGGAGCAGCGCCGCGUGAGUGAUGAAGGUGUUGCGAGCGUAAAACUCUGUUAUUAGGUAAGAACAGAUGUGUAAUUAACUGUACACAUCGUGACGGUACCUAAUCAGGAAGCCCCGGCUAACUACGUG
rnacentral:rRNA from 1 species